AAAUUAUUGGGCGUAAAGAGCUCGUAGGCGGCGUGUCGCGUCUGCUGUGAAAGACCGUGGCUUAACUCCGGUUCUGCAGUGGAUACGGGCAUGCUAGAGGUAGGUAGGGGAGACUGGAAUUCCUGGUGUAGCGGUGAAAUGCGCAGAUAUCAGGAGGAACACCGGUGGCGAAGGCGGGUCUCUGGGCCUUACCUGACGCUGAGGAGCGAAAGCAUGGGGAGCGAACAGGAUUAGAUACCCUGGUAGUCCAUGCCGUAAACGUUGGGCGCUAGGUGUGGGGACUUUCCACGGUUUCCGCGCCGUAGCUAACGCAUUAAGCGCUCCGCCUGGGGAGUACGGCCGCAAGGCUAAAACUCAAAGGAAUUGACGGGGGUCCGCACAAGCGGCGGAGCAUGUUGCUUAAUUCGACGCAACGCGAAGAACCUUAUCAAGGUUUGACAUCACCCGUGGACCUGUAGAGAUACAGGGUCAUUUAGUUGGUGGGUGACAGGUGGUGCAUGGCUGUCGUCAGCUCGUGUCGUGAGAUGUUGGGUUAAGUCCCGCAACGAGCGCAACCCUUGUUCCAUGUUGCCAGCACGUAAUGGUGGGGACUCAUGGGAGACUGCCGGGGUCAACUCGGAGGAAGGUGGGGACGACGUCAAGUCAUCAUGCCCCUUAUGUCUUGGGCUGCAAACAUGCUACAAUGGCCGG
rnacentral:rRNA from 1 species